AGAGGCUAUCUGGGAACAGCUCCUAAAGAUAGAGCUCGAUAAGGUGUUUUGGAUGGAUAAAUUGAGCAUUGAAUGCAUAGGUUAGAAUAAAAUAAUUUGUGUCAAAGUGGUUUUGUGAUUCCAACAAUACUUAGAGUACUGAGAAUAAAAGCAGAGAAAGUAAGUUGCAGGGUGUGUACAAGGGAAGUGACUUGCAGCAGUCAUUCUGUGUGACCCAGUAGUGACAGCAAGGAACUUGGAACUCAGCUGAAAGGCAGAGGGUAUUUCAUAUGAAUAUGAGGUUGAAAGCCCUUUAUUUCCCCAUGGCCCCAUCACAGUGCCUUUCCAUAGGGUUGAUGUGGGUGGGGAGUUACAGGCUAUUGGUAUGAUGGAACCUAGAGGGUCAGGCCCAUUAUGGUGGGAAGAUUAUCAAGGGUGCUUGCCUGAGAGGAGAGGUGGCCAGAGGCAUCUGGGGUCACCAUGAAGGUGGCAAGUGCAGUCAGUAGGGGUGAGGAUGGUAGACUGAAAGGAGUAGAAGCUGUGAAUGGAGGAACAUUCCAGAAUGUGAGAUCGUGGAGAUGGCACCAUUUUCACUUGGAAAGCCAGCAGCCUAUGGCAAGCAUUAAAACAUUUCAAGGCCAACGGUGCUUUACCCCCAUCCUGAUUCCCUACUCCAAAGGUCGCAUUUCUCUAAACACAUUUAGAGAAAUGUGUUUGGUGGUCUCUCUGAGAUACAAAUGUUUUAACCAGACUCUUUACACUGAUAAUUUAUGUCUUUGGAUGCUGCCCACUGUUUCACUUUCUAGCCCCUUCCACGUUAACUUUAACGCUCUUUUCAUCAAACCCUGCCUAGCCAUGUGUCACAGAUGGGCACCAUUUUUUUCUCAACCAUGAAAGUUGAAAGGUCAAGAUUCAACAUCAUUCACAAAGAUUUCGGUGUGUGGAGGAGGUUCCAAAAUCAAGGCCAGGAAUUACUAAUUCCACAAGAUGGGGGAGGAGGUGAUGUGGGAGAAACAACAAAUGAGCCGUGAUCCCUAGAGUGUCCUCUGAAUAUUCCCGUCUACCUGGAAUCUCAGAAUAUAACCUAUUUGGAAAGAAGGUCUUUGUGGACAUGAUUAGUUUGAGUCAUACUGGAUUAAGGUGGGCUCUGAAUCUAAUGACUGUGUCUUUGUAAGAGGAGAAGACACACAGAGACACAGGGAGAGUGUCAUGGGAAGACAGGGACAGAGCUUGGGGUGCUGGAGCUACAAUCCACAGGGUAUCAAGGAUUGCCAGGAGCCACCAAAAGCAAGGAGAGAUUCUUCUCUAGAGCCUCAAAUGGGGGCAUGGCCCUGCCAACACUUUGGUUGUGGACUUCUAGCCUCUAGAACUGACACAUUUCUACUGUUUUUAAACCAUCCCGUUUGCAAGAAUUUGUUACAGCAACCCUAGGAAACCGAUACAGUCUUCUGACCCUGAUGACUAAGCUUUUCACUGCCCAGCUGGAAGCCUCUCCCAGGAGGCCAUGUUGCCCCUGGAGCCUGUCCCAGUGUAACCGGCAUGAUUUAAAGUCUCGGGAAGCCUUGUGCGAGAAGGCUCCAAGCCCAGGUCAAUGUAUUUCUUUGGCCCGCCCUUGUCAUUACAGCGUUCUGACUUACAUCUUUGCUCCUUUGAACUUCAAUCAAUGGCCGCCCCAGGGACGUUGUUUUGACUACGCCGACGUUUUCUAAACUCCCCACUGUGUGGUUUCCAGGUCAGACAGUCAGGCUUUGUUCUGUGACUCAGCGCCCAAAGAGUCAAUUAAAUCUCGCUCGGCUGCCUUGCGGCCUGGCUUCAGUGACUUAGCGAGAACAGGGGCAUUUACAGGGUUCCUGAGGAAAGCCAGACGUGAUGGGAGGGAGGACCCAGUGCUGACAAAGGGCAGGGGACACAGAUUAGGGAGCUCAGGAUGGCGGUGACAAAUGAAGGCCCCAGGAGCUCAGCUUCCUGUCUUAGAAAGGAGCGGUGGAUUCCUGACACACUAUCUCUGGACCUGAAAGCGAAAGUGAGGGGCUUUGGAAAUCAUUCCGGAGAGGCUGCUAUCAAGGGGCGAAGAGACACGUGUUAGCACCACCGUCCUUCCACCGCAGGAAUGGCCAAGAAUCACAGUGUGAGUCUGGCCGUGAUCUUUAUGGUGGGAGGCUUCCUUUGAAGUCUGACAUCACUGAAAAAAAUUCUCAUAAAACCGAAAAGGAAAAAAAGAGUAUCUCAUCCUGGCUAGGAGCGCACCACAGAAUAUGGAAAUGAGAAACAGUUAUAGCUCACUGCAGAAACAGGAAUGGGCAGAACUGGAAGUCCCUCGGGAAGAGAAAGGUAAAAGAAAAAGCAAGAUUUCUCGAAGGGCCUGGAAAGUGCUACCUUGGUGGCAGGCUUGUUCCCAGGGGAAAAGUCCUGUGUGAGGCCAGGAGACCCAGAGAGAGGACCAGCUCCCACCCUGAGUGCCCAGGGGGGCUCUGGGCAAGUCACAGAGACUCUAGGGGACUCUAGGAAUCUAGGCGAUUCUCGCUGGCCCUCCCUUCCCUUGCAGGAUCAUGUGGGGCUUGGAGGAGACACAGUGUGUGAAAUCACUCUGUACAUUUCUAAGCAGCCUAUAAAUAAAUAUAGACAAGUAAGGACUGGUACCCACUGAAGCUGGUCCCAGGAUGCCUUAGAUAUCCCGUUUACCUGCACCAUGUCAGGCACCAGCUAAGUGGGGGGCUAAGAAUCUCCCCAGAAGCCCAGCUCCAGGGCCCCGGUGGGUUGGGACUAUUCCUUCUUCCCUUGAAUCAGCAACACAGCCAGGAGGAAACAGGCAAGCACAGAGACAGAGACUGGUGUUGCUCCCUUUCCAGAGCAUCAGGAGGGCAGUCCCAUGCCACACUGCCAUCCCAGGGGCUGCUCCUUUGGGCCAUGAGCCCAGAGGGGCCAGCACGGCACAGACCCCAGGGGAGGGGAUGGCCCAGGCCCAGCCACCCAGUGUGCAGCCCUGGCCCAUGCUUUUCUCUGAGCCACCGCAUCACCGAGUGCUUGCAAAAAUUGUGCCGUGAGCACUCACAUUUCUUCCUUCGGCUGCAAGGGCCUGUCUUUUCAUUUCCAUCCACCAAAAUUUCCUAGAUGCUCUCUCUGCCAUGAAGCCUGAUCUGAGCCUGCCUUAGCGCAUUUCAUGUCCUCUGGGACACCACACCUUGUUAGUUCUGCUCACGGCUUGCAUCAGUCCUCCCCUGCCCAUCCGCUAACUGUAAAGCUGGGUAAUGAUUCCACUUAGGAUGAUUAUUAUUUGGGUGGCCUUCUUUCAUGCCCUAAUCUUGUCCCAGAUGCAACACUCUGCAUGUGAUGGUUAACAGUUGGUGGAUUCUGAUACAGUAGCUACUAGUGGGCAGGGCAGCUUUGAGCCCCUAGGAAGGAGACCAGGGGUGUCUACCCAGGCUCUGGGGGCUCCCAGAUCCUCAAAAGGGAGUGGUACCAACAGGUGUGGGUUCAAGUAAGUGGGGAGAUCCAGAACACCUGUCUUUGGUGCCCUAAACUCUCCUUAUACUGACCUUCGUACUCUACCUUAUUUGGGGCAGCCUCUUACUUAGUUCAUACUAAAGUGUAAAUGACUAAUGGUUUAUCCUUCCCUGGGAGAGCUGCCUUCUCAGAGCUUACCUAAACUUGGAGAUUAAGGCCUGAAGCUGUGCCAGAAGGUCAGUGAGAGAGGAAGCUACUUGUCUUGGAUGAAGGCUUUCCCAGGCUUCUGAAAUCACCCCCUUGGGCAGCUGCGUGGCACGAUGUACCCCUCGAUUAAUGUACUUUCUCCCUGUCCAGACUGUUUAGGCCACUCUGAGGAUGAUCCCUUUCUCUCUGGACUCUCCUUUCCCAGCCUAACUUGAAAGACAUUAAAUCCACCCCAAGUGGCUUCAGGGAAAAGUAUGGAAGUCUGUGGGCUGCAGGCCUGUCUGUUCUGGCAUAAUUUAAAUGUCUUUGUGCUGUAAAAAUGGAAAUGUCUAAUAAGAGUUCUUACUGUGCUCUUCGGCUUGCUAUAGACAGUGGUGCAAAGGAAACCUCAGGGUUCAGGUUGUAACAAGGCUGCAUUCCCUUCUGCAGAUCCCUGGAGACUCCCUGGGUCCCACCUACCACAUCUGCAGAAUGGGGAGAGGUGAAUCACUGGAUAUGUUUUCAGGCACCAGAUGACUCCUCAUCUGUCAGGGGUCCUGCUCAGAGGGUGGCAGCAGGAGGAAAUGAAAUGACAUGCACAGAACACCCAGCUCAGCAGUGGAAACGCGAAACUCCACCAUGAGUUUGCUUGUGAUGUGAGUAAGAUCUGGACUCUACUAACCAGGGAAGGCUUGCAGACAAGGUGAUUCCUUCUGGAAGCUUCCUCAGAUCUUGGGAGCGUUCCCCUGAAUUACAUCACCGACCUCCUGAAUCCAUGAAAUCUCCAGAAGAACAGCACAAAACCACACUUCAUCUGGAGGGUCGAACAUCGUGAUGGCCCCUCAUCCAGGCUCAAUUCCUGCCUUUCUACUCUCAGGGGGAAGCUGCUGCCCUUGGGAGGAGGAGCCCACUGCCUCCCUGAGAUCAGAAAUGAGCACUUCCUACCAGGCCGAUGAAUUGCAGUGAGCACCAUGAUCCCACUCAUUGGAACGGUAUCUUUAGAAUACCCACGGAGUAAAAUCAAUGAAAAUCAAA